UACGUAGGUCCCGAGCGUUGUCCGGAUUUAUUGGGCGUAAAGCGAGCGCAGGUGGUUUAUUAAGUCUGGUGUAAAAGGCAGUGGCUCAACCAUUGUAUGCAUUGGAAACUGGUAGGCUUGAGUGCAGGAGAGGAGAGUGGAAUUCCUAGUGUAGCGGUGAAAUGCGUAGAGAUUAGGAAGAACACCAGUGGCGAAGGCGAUUCUCUGGACUGUAACUGACGCUGAGGCUCGAAAGCGUGGGGAGCGAACAGG
rnacentral:rRNA from 1 species